CCUACGGGAGGCAGCAGUGAGGAAUAUUGGACAAUGGGUGAGAGCCUGAUCCAGCCAUCCCGCGUGAAGGACGACGGCCCUAUGGGUUGUAAACUUCUUUUGUACAGGGAUAAACCUUUCCACGUGUGGAAAGCUGAAGGUACUGUACGAAUAAGCACCGGCUAACUCCGUGCCAGCAGCCGCGGUAAU
rnacentral:rRNA from 1 species